CAAAGCAUGGCUCAAGGGGUAGAGCACAUGUCUUACAAACGUCAGGUCCUGAGUUCAAACCCCAGCACUGUAA
rnacentral:tRNA from 1 species